rnacentral:rRNA from 1 species
UACGUAGGCAGCGAGCGUUGCUCGGAAUUAUUGGGCGUAAAGGGCGCGUAGGCGGUUUGACAAGUCUGAUGUGAAAUCUAUGGGCUCAACCCAUAGCCUGCAUUAGAAACUGUCGGGCUUGAGUAUGGGAGAGGUGAGUGGAAUUUCCGGUGUAGCGGUGAAAUGCGUAGAUAUCGGAAGGAACACCUGUGGCGAAAGCGGCUCACUGGACCAUAACUGACGCUGAGGCGCGAAAGCUAGGGGAGCAAACAGG